GGGUGCGCGCGAGUUCUGUCGCGCUCCAUUUCCGCACAUCUAAUGGCUGCGGGUUGGGACCCCCUUCCCCAGCUGCUCCCUACACCCGAGCUCCCCGGACGUGCUUCCUCGUCCCGAGCUGUUUCUAAGGAGAAGGGAGAAGGAGGGGCCCGGAGCGGUCCCGUGGCCUCCGGCUCAGCACGUCCCAGCUUGGUGCCCGGACCAGGGUCAGAAAGCAGCCCAACAUUCACACCGCGGACAUCCGCCUUCAGAGGGAAAAGGUGGUGCUGAAGUCACCGCCCCGGGGACACCCCGCACCAUCCUGUCUUCUCCUUGCCCCGUGACACUCGGCUGAGCCCCACGGCGGGUGCUGGACGCAGGGUCCCUCGAUCCACCAGAGUCGCAGUGGAAACCACCUUCGUGUUGUCCACAGCAUUCCGGCGACACCAGACAAGCAAAGGCACUGUGGCCGGAUCAGCCUAUGCCCAAAACGCAGCUCUGUAAUGAAGAUCCUGAAUUCCAAAUGUUUCUAUUCAAGAGACAGACGCUUUGAGGAUAGCAAGUUUGCUUUUAUUCCUGAGUUUGAGGUGACGCCAGAAAAAUGAAAGGAAGCGUCCCCAGACGAGCGGUCAGGACCUUACAUUCAUUUUCAGGAUCUCCCACGUGGAGCCAGAGGCUGAUUUGGACGGGGUCCCCGAGGAAGAGCCCACAGAGGACCUAGGGGGAACCUGAAGGCAAGUCCGCACACAGGUUGGUAGGAGGAAAGACAUUCAGCAAAAGAAACUACGAAAAGAAACCAAUCGCACAAAAGAAGCAAAGGCUCCAGGAUUUCGCGAGAGGGAGAGACUGACACAGCCACACUCAGAGGCGGGAGUGGGUGGCGGCAAUGGUCGCCAGAUCCGCCCCCGGAGACGUGCCGAGGACAGAAGCAGACUGUGAUGAGUCCAGCACCUAAGAGGUAAAGGAAAAGAAAAGCGAGGUUUCAAACACCGACCACCCCGCAGACACAGCACACGGAAGAGGGAAGGCCAAGAGCCGGGUGGGGACGACGGGGUCAGAGCAGAGGGGACCUCCCGGAGUGGUUUGUGGAAUCAAGAGGGCAGAGCUGGGGGGAGCGAGAGUCUGGAGACUCUAGGAAGAAAGAGACUAACGGAAGCACCUGCCCAGGGGGGUGACAAAGGAGGCAGCCAGCUGCACCGGGAAGGACAGAGCGCGGAGACGAGGGGCGCGGAGACGAGGGCCGCGGGACGGCAGCGCCACUGUGAUGGGGCACGGAGCAAACGGGAGCUCCUGGCAGUUUUCUCAGCACGACAGGGGACAAAAAACUGGGAAGCCGUGGGCGAGGUGGUCUAGGAGGCUGGAGCAGAACGGAGUGAAUGCUGGGGCUGGGGGGCGCCGGGGGAAAGAGGUGACCCCAGUUGGGCAAAUGCCAGCGGAAGCCCUGGUGGCGGGAGGGGCCCCCGUGCCGCUGUGACUCUGCCGGGCGUCCUUUGCAGCCCGGGGCCAGAGAUGGGCUUCGAGGUGGUGAGGGACCUGGGACCGUAUGGAGUGGCACCCACCGGGGCCUCAGUGACCGCUGGAUUCGUGGGACAGUGGGCGGGGGGAGAAGGUUGCUUCCGUUUGCAAGAUGCUCGCAGCUGCUGGACAUUCUAGAAAACUCCGUUGGGUGGCGGCCUCUGUAUACUCCCUUCCUCCCGCGGCUUGGCGCUCUCGACCGUCUCUGGGAUGGUUUCCCGGCCUCCUUCCCGUCUCCCCCAGGCGCAGACGCCAGCUCGCGGCCCAGCUCUCACCGUACUGCAGGGCUGUUUCCACCCUGGCGCUCCUUCCCUCUCCCGCCCUCAGCCAUCCCCUCCACGGAGGCCUGAACUUGGUCUUCCCCUGAAUCCCCGGGUCUGGAACGUUGGAUCCCCAAACACAGCGGCGUCAUCGAAUGAAUCGCGCUGCGUUUAUUGCUCGGAGGUUCAGGAAGUACCUUCAUCCGCCGCAGAGAGAUAAAGAUCAGAGGGUCUGAGCGCACCCCUUCGUUGUGCGGACGAAGAAGCCGAAGCCCGAAGAGGCCGCCUUUGUUUCUUCUCUCUCACGGCCUCCCAGCGCCGGGUGUCACGUUCCGUGUCUCUGCUGCUUCUAACCGGGGACUGUUCCCUUCGGCACGUGGCGGAGUGCGGUGGGAAUCUGAACAGGCUUGGGCAGGACCACCGGCGCUGGUGGGGGGGGGCGGGGAGACAGUGCCGGAACCACGAGCCAGAAAGGCCGCUUGAGGCGCAAAACCGCCCCAGAGGCAGAUGGAAGAAGGACCAGCUAGACGCGGCCGUGUGCACACGAGGGACCCGAUGGGAAGGUGGCAGCCGCCCUGGGGUGUCAGAGUCCCAGAGGGAUAAGCCGCUUGUCUGUGCGUGUCACGGUUAAAUAAACGGUCGGGAAUGGUU